AAAGGUUUCCUCAUUGCCCUUUUUUUAAUGGAAAAUGAGGAAUGGUUCUUAUCCUUUCAACCACAGCAUUUCCUACCAAAGAGAUUCGGGUAUGACACAAUCACAAGCAUGCACACAAAUUUACAAAUUCCAAACCUUGGCCUAAUUGCCCUAUAUACAUCAAUUAUUUAUUUAUUUAUUUGUUUGUUUGCUUCCUCAAUGUUAAAACUUUAGGUGUAUUUAGUAUUUUGUGUUAUAGAUUAUUUAUUAUGUUUUUCAUUGUCUACUAUAAUGUUGGCUGAACUUACCGAUAGUGGUAGAGACGGCUUCUUCAUGUGGUUUUUUCUAUUUCUUCCAUGUAUAUCGAGAGCUUCAUUACAAUAAGAGAUUAUGGAUGAUGUUCUUGUUUAAGUUUUUCAAAGAAAAUUCUAUGUUCAUCAAAAAAAUAAAUUGGAUAAAAAAACCUAUGACAAAAAAACAAAAAGUGUUCAACAGUUGGAUGCUCCAAAAAAAAAAUAGAAUUUGAAAUUUCAUUUUGAAAAUUUAGAUUCAAAUCUUGAAAAUAAAAAUAAAGCUUAGCUAGUAGGACAAAAUUCAAAUCUUUGCCAAUAUACGAACCAAAAUCUAAAAAGUAGCAAAAAAAAAAAAAAAAACCCUUUGCUCAUGCGUGGGCUUGGAUAAGAAUGGAUGGGCCUUAGAGCUUUGUAUAUAGGAUGUGUGACCAACAGCUAAUAUUAGUCCAAACUCCAAAGCUAGUUGGUCUUUAUUUGAUAUUAGGCCUUGCCCAUAAAACGGUCACAACCUAAAAUCAUAUUUUUUAAUUUUUAUCUUCGAUGAGUG
rnacentral:lncRNA from 1 species